rnacentral:ncRNA from 2 species
ACUUAUUCUCAGGGCGGGGUGCAAGUCCCCACCGGCGGUAUCCCGGUUUUUUACCGGGGAGCCCGCGAGCGCUCUUCCUGCUUGGGAAGAGGUCAGCAGAACUGGUGAAAUGCCAGUGCCGACGGUAUAGUCCGGACGAAAGAGGAUAAGG